GUGAAGAACGUAGCGAAAUGCGAUACGUAAUGUGAAUUGCAGAAUUCAGUGAAUCAUCGAGUCUUUGAACGCACAUUGCGCCCCCUGGUAUUCCGGGGGGCAUGCCUGUCCGAGCGUCAUUGCUGCCCUCAAGCACGGCUUGUGUGUUGGGCCUCCGUCCUCCUCCCGGGGGACGGGCCCGAAAGGCAGCGGCGGCACCGCGUCCGGUCCUCGAGCGUAUGGGGCUUCGUCACCCGCUCUUGUAGGCCCGGCCGGCGCUUGCCGACACAUCAAUCUUUUUUCCAGGUUGGCCUCGGAUCAGGUAGGGAUACCCGCUGAACUUAAGCAUAUCAAUAAGCGGAGGA
rnacentral:misc_RNA from 1 species